GCCAGGGGCGGGUGCAGAGCCCAAUCAACCCUCUGCUGCAGGAGGUGCUGAGCCGGACCUACGUGGGUGAUCAUGCAGACAGGGUUUGGCAAUUAGGCCCGGGUGCCAGCACUGCCCCGGACAGCAGAGUGAGUGGGGGCCGGCUGUGCGGCCCAGAGAGGCAGGGCAGCAGGGACCCUCCUCCCUCUUCAGGUCCCCUCCCUGCAGCUCCAGGAGCAGCCUGACUCCGAGGCCCCUGCUCGGGCAGCAGCUGUCUACGGUGCCCAUUCAGCAGGUGAGGAAAGAGGCUUGGAGGGGUCGGUCGCGCUGCAAGAGGCACUGGCUGCCCCUCAUCUGCAAGUCUUAAGGGGUGCAGGGGCCACUAGAGGGUGCGCUCAGUGUCCACGGAGCUUACCCCUGAGUGCCUGAAGGAGCUCAGAGACCUGCCCAGGACGGGCCCAGGCUGGGCCGGGAGGAAGCCUGCAGGUCCACAGGCAGCCGACCCCCUUCCUCCCUCCCCUGCCUUCCUCCGCCUUUUCUCCUGCAGGUGAGUGUCCCGCUCAGGAGGGGCCUUGAAGGGACUCCUGUGGAGAGAGGCCCAGCCACAGCCUGUAGCCACGUAAACCCAAAGGCCACCUUGAAGCAUCUGCCCAUCCGCUCUAUGUCCUCCCCGACCCCAAGGAACCGGCAAUGGCCUUGCAGGCACCAGGCAGCUCCCAUUAUCUGCAGUGAGCUCGGGGCUGGGUACCCAGGCUCCGGCACCGCUGGGCACACCUGCCAGCACCCUGCGCCUCACCCUCGGGCCCUCCUCCCGUGGAAUCCUGCGGCCCCGGGGCCGGCUCCACCCUCAGGAGAGGUGCCCAGCCCUCCAAGUGCCCAGCACCUCGCCUGGCCCUACCUACUCGCCUCCCACCCGACCCUGGCCCAAGCCCCCUUAUGCAGAUGCACCAGCCACACGGAACCGUCUGGCCCCAGAACAAACCCCGUCUUCUCCCCACGGAGCCCCACCUUGUUCCCAGCCACAGCUCUCCAGCCUGGGUUUGGGGCUCCCCUCAGCUCCGACAGGUCAGCUGCCUUGUCCACCUCCCCCCAGGCCAGGGCUCCUCCCUUUCUUAUUCCCUGCUGGUCUCUGCGCCUGGCAUGUUCUUGGUGCUCAGUGUUUAAACACAGGAAUGAAUGAGGCCCACCGAGGGACAGUCACCGCCACUGUCACUCCCCAGUUAGCCCUCAGGUGGCCAGGCCUGCUGGGGGGCUGUCCUGCCGGCCUCAGGGACUAACAGGCAUAUUGUCAAUGCCAGGUGGGCAGUGGCAUGUGGACAGUAGUGUCCCUCAGGCCACGCUCCGUCCCCGCCUGCUCCUAGGCUAUGGUUGGAAAGUCCAGCCUGGUCCCAGGCACACAGCUCCAGGUGUCUGUCCUCCAGGGAGGAGUGUCCAGUGCUGGCACUGGUGGCCAGGCAGCCAGGACGUGAGGCCUGAUGAGGACGGAUGGGACGAGGGUCUGCAGAGGCAGUGGCCUGAGCCCUCUAAACAGCAAUUGAGCUUCCAAGAGAUUCCUUGUGGCAGGGAGGCCGUCCUACAUGUCCCGAUGUGCCUGGGACAGAUCGCUCCUGACAGAAACUCAAAUGGACAUCAACGUCUCCUGGCCACGCAGACACCUCUCGGCGGGUCCCAGCCUCGCUCCCACCGCCCCACCCAGGUGUGGAGGCUGGGUGUGCGCCACAGGGCAGAGCAGGACGCUGCUGCUCCGGCACUCGCCUCUCAGGCCCCUGAAUCCCAGGCCGUAGGAACCACGGGCCCAGAGCUGAUCAGCCUCCUCAAGUGCAAGCCACACAGCACCUCAGGCGCCGUCAAGCUUGUCCUAACCCUUAACUCUGAUUUCUGGGCCCAGCCCCUCUCCGUUCUGCCUGCAGAGGGGUUCCCAGAAGCCAACGUCAUAACUCGAGAUCUGACAGUUACGAAGACAGAAGAGCUUUUAACCCAGACACGGGGCCAUACCUUCAGAGCUCUCUGCUUGUAGACGCGUGGAGAUGCGGCUGGCGGCGGGGUCUGGGGGGAUUCUCUGCUCUCACGCGGCUCCUCAUGGCAGACUCUUUCCUGGCCGCUCCCCACGCCGCACCUCUGCUGACCCCUUUCAAAGCUGACCCGCACCGGCCUCCCCUCCCCUCCCGCGGACGCUGCCCACAGGCCUCUCUGAGCUCUGCUUCCAGGUCACUUGUUUCAUGCGAUGUUAAACUCUUCCCUGGACACUUGUCACCUGGACAUCAAUACGCCGAAAAUAGUCGGAGCCAAGCUCCUUGGGAGGGACAGAGGUGCUCUGCCCGGAGACCGUGUCCAAGUCCAAGGUCGGAGACCAGGAGAGCGUCCACCCGGGCUCCCUGGAAGCAGCUGAGAUCCAUCUCCCCCGGCAUCAGGUGCCCAUCCCUGUCCCCUGGACUGCUGCAGAUGCCCUCCUGGUGGAGAGUGAGGGGCAGGUGGCCAGUGCCUGGCCCUGGGCAAGGCUCACGGUCACGGAGAGGACCGAACAGCUUCCAGGCCGUGUGCAAGGUGCUCUGGGCACACCUGGUGCUCCAGGAAGCUCAUCUGGACCUCUGGGCUGUCCUUCCUCAUCCUUCCAGGCUCGGCAGGGCCAGGCGAUCCCCGCCUGAGGCACAGGCCCCUCGGGGCCCUCGCAGGCUUGGAAUCACUGCUGUGCGGCCUCCGGAGAAAGACUGAGGAUGCCCCCGGCCUUGCGCAUCCAGCACUCCCUGGCGGCCCUGGGGGAUGGGGUCCUCACCAGGCCAACCCCCUCCAGCACGCUCCUUUUCUGCCUAGGUCAGUCCCUUCCUGGGGCUUGCCUUUCAAAGGUCUAAGUGAUGCAGGAGGAAACAGAAGCUCAGAGAACUUAAGUAACUUGCCCAAGAUCACACAGUAGGACUGAAAGCCAAGCCCAGGUCUGUCCUUGGAUGACGGAUGGAGCAAGCGACCUUCAUGCACCUCUGCCUCCCUGGCAAAGGGGCUCCACCUAGGCCUGUAUGAAGCACCUCUUCCCCUCUCUCUUCCCGCUCUCGGCAGUGAUGCCCACAGCCAGGUUUGGGCACAUGAAACACAAUUCCUUUCUCUUUAUUUGCAGUGCUGGGGUGGAGCCCAGGGCCUAGCGCAUAGUAGGUAAAUGCUCUACCAUCCAGCUGCACCCCUGCCUUGAAGCACAAUUCUUACCCCGUCUUUCUUCUCUCCACCACCCUCAAUAGCUCCCCAGUGUCUGUCUCAAGCCCACAGACGAGGACAUCAACCACCGUAGCCGCGCCUCUCCAGCCUCGGGUGCCAGCUGAGUCCCUGUGCCCUGGGUGGGCCCCGAGCUUCCUGGCUCCAGCCCGUCAGGCCACCCUCUUCCUGGGGCACCUUCUCUUCCUUCCCACACUGAGCAGCCCCACCCACCCGUAAGGCGAUCAGAAAAGCCCCUCCUAUAGAAGCUGGCUCAGGGCACCCAGCCUUUGCUGCGGGACUCUUCCUGAGCCCCGAGACUCCAGCCUUCUUGGGAGGACAAAGCCUUCCUCAUCUCCGUGCUUCCCCAGGACCAGCAUAGAGCAGUGGCCACCAAGACAGAGACCUGGUGACCUCAGUCCCGCAGGACCACGAGCCAGUUUCCCUUGGCCCCCUGCAGACAGAGCACCAGGCCCUGCCUGAAGGAGCGUCUGGCUGGCGGGUCUGGAGGCGCCCUGUGGUCAUCAAACCUGAGCCUCUGUCCCCUGCACCCCUUCUCCCAGAGGAACUUCAGAGGCACUGUCCCUGCUCUCUCUGACUUGUCUGUCCACCCCACGAUGCCACAUGCAGUCAGGAGCACCGGCCUUAGAGCCAGAACUUGGUUCCGACACUCUCUGGACCUCACUUUUCUUCUCUGGUAAAUGGGUUAAGAGAGCUCGACGGGAGGGUGUGGGUGACGUGCUCGCAGCUGCUCAGCCACAGGAAAUCCUGGGUCCCCAGCCGGAGUAUUCCCUUGUCUAUCAGAGCCGUGAGGUGGGUGGCCAAGGACAGGGCACGGUGGGGCCCUGGCUCUCCCUGCUAGCCAGGGCAGGGCCCAUGAGUCACCUGGGAGGCAUCCCCCGUCCACUCACCGUUGGCGCAGCCCCGGGGCCGGGCGCCCCUGGAAGGAGCCCUCUGGAGGUCGGCCUUGACUCGGGGCCGGCUCAGCCCUCGGUCCCUCUGCAGGGCAUCCAGGACGUCGCUGACAGAGUUCACCAGGUGAGCCAGGUGGCCUUGGCUCUCGGAGAGAAGCUGCAGAGCACGGGGGCUCACUGGAGGGCGCAGGGACCCCGCAGGGUCACGGGCACACAGCGCGCCAGAAACCUGCCAGAAGGGCCCUCCCCUAAGGCAGAAGUGGGCUCCUGGCCCAGUGAGCCCCGGCCUGCUCUGACCCGGCUCCCUGUGCAGGGUGUCUGAGGGUCAGCCGAGCUCUGCUGGCUGCUGCAGGUCUGAGACCUGGGGUCCCCGAGGGCAGGGGCCCAGGUGGGAGGAGGCAGUGUGUCCCAGCAGGUUCCUGCCGCCUGACUGCCCUUCAGCCAUUUCUGUACAGGUGGCCGGGUGCGGGUGGAGGCAGCUCAUGGCAGGGCCAGGCUGGGGUCAGCCUGACCACCCACUGACCAGUUCCACAGCUACGGCAAGUGCCCUGUAGGGGUCCUUCUAUGGAAAACGGGGCCAACAUCACCUCCCUGGCCAAACUGCCCUGGUGGCCACUGCAAACAGCAAGUGGGCCCAGGGCGUGCUCCCAGAGCUCCAUGGCACCCCCAGGCUGGAGGACACCCACCUGCCACCUCUUCUGGCCCCCAAGCAAGGUUGCCAGGCAGGGGUGACAGAUCUGCCCUUGACAGAGGGAUACUGAGGCUUGGCGAGGUGACGGGAGCCUGGACACAGGCUAGGGGCUGGGUCCAGGACCAAGGACACCCUCUCCAAAGCCCCAUCCCCUAUGGGACUGCUGCUUUGAGGUUCCGCGGCCGGCUGAUGUCGCGGACCUCUCUGGGCCUCACACAGUGCUGCAGAGGGCUGGGACUUGAGGUCGUCAACUCCUUGUUACAAAUGGGGAAACUGAGGCCCAGAAUGAGGAGCAGUCCCUGUGAGGGAGCAGGCAUGAGGACCAGGCCUCGGGUCACUUCCCCAGGACUGUGUCACUGUACAACAAACCCAAGGUCUGGGGGAGCCAGGCCCCUGGCAGAGUGAGACCUCUCUGGCCUGCACAGGGGGAUGAGGACACAGUCUUUCUGGGUGGGGGUUCCCAAGCACUACACCAGUGUCCUUUUUCUGACUCCUGCCCCUUGCUGCCCAGGGCAGGAGCUCAGCAGGACCCUGUGGCUCCCUGGGGGGUUCUGGGGUGCCGGUGGCCUGAAGGGUCUGGGGUCUCCUGCUUCCACAGCCUGGUUUCCAGGAGG